rnacentral:rRNA from 1 species
AGAGUUUGAUCCUGGCUCAGGACGAACGCUGGCGGCGUGCUUAACACAUGCAAGUCGAACGAGAAGACAUGAGAAGCUUGCUUCUUAUCGAUUCGAGUGGCAAACGGGUGAGUAACGCGUAAGCAACCCGCCCUUCAGAUGGGGACAACAGCUGGAAACGGCUGCUAAUACCGAAUACGUUCUUUCCGCCGCAUGACGGGAAGAAGAAAGGGAGGCCUUCGGGCUUUCGCUGGAGGAGGGGCUUGCGUCUGAUUAGCUAGUUGGAGGGGUAACGGCCCACCAAGGCGACGAUCAGUAGCCGGUCUGAGAGGAUGAACGGCCACAUUGGGACUGAGACACGGCCCAGACUCCUACGGGAGGCAGCAGUGGGGAAUCUUCCGCAAUGGACGAAAGUCUGACGGAGCAACGCCGCGUGAACGAUGACGGCCUUCGGGUUGUAAAGUUCUGUUAUAUGGGACGAACAGGGCAUCGGUUAAUACCCGGUGUCUUUGACGGUACCGUAAGAGAAAGCCACGGCUAACUACGUGCCAGCAGCCGCGGU